GGCCGCCGGAGAACCCUCCAACCUCGUGAAUCGAUGUCGUCCGAGUCCGAUCGAAUCGAACUGAAAACUUUCAACAACGGAUCUCUUGGUUCUGGCAUCGAUGAAGAACGC
rnacentral:rRNA from 1 species